rnacentral:lncRNA from 1 species
GCCGGUCCCGUCCCUGCGCUGGCGGCUCGGGGAGGCGCUGCUGGAGGGGAACAGCAGCAAUGCCUCCCUCAUGGUCACCUCCAGCUGGGCCGGGCCCUGGGCCAACAGCUCCCUGAGCUUCCCUGGGGGACUGAGCUCUGGGGAUAGGCUCAGCUGCGAGGCAGGGAAUGUGCACGGGGUCCAGAGGGCCACUGUCCUGCUGCUGCCGGGGAAGCCAGAGAGUUGGGGUGGAUAUGUGCUCGCAGCACUUGGGGGAGCUGCUGCCUCGGCUCUGCUCUCUCUCUGUGCCUGCCUGCUCUUCUCCAGGAUGAAGACCCCCCAGAAGGAGGCGGUGAGGACAGUGGCCACAGAGAAGGGCGCAUCCUGUGGCCCGACUCCUGUCUGUUGGGGUCACCUGAAUGCAUCUGGGUCAGACCACCCGUCAUCUGCCAUGGCUACCACAGGGGAGGAGCAGGGGCUCCAUUACGCCUCCCUCAGCUUCCUGGGACUGAAGCCCCGGAAGCCUCAGAACCAGAAGGACUCCAGCACCACUGAGUACGCAGAGAUCAUGAUCCGGAACUGAUGCCCCAGCCCGGAGCUCCCAGGGCUUCUCUGGGGAGGGAGACAUCAGGGAGGAUUGGGAGAGGAGCGUCCCCACCGCCUGACAGCAGAACUGGGUGCAGACGUUGAGCAAGCAACUUUCUACUUUUUCUCCUCUGUCAAAUGGACACGACAGACCUGAGUCACAGGGCUGUCCUGGGCAUGAGGGAAGCAAUCCCAUAAACAUCCAGAGCUGUGUAUGUAUCCAGAGAGAGCCUUACCUGUGGCCUCCUGCCAAGCCCCAAGAGGUGCUGAACCCCCAGGUCUGAUCACCCUGGCCGGAGAGGGCCCCUUCAGGGCUGCUCCUGCUGCCCAGAACUGCAGAUCCAAUUGAGGCUGUCAAUUCUCCUUCUGCCCCGCCUGCCUUCACCCUCUCCCCACUCAGGUGUUCAUCUCUGGAUGCUGCUUUCUCCCUGCUCCAAGCCACAAGGGAGUCUCCAGGCCAGAGCUGCUUCCUGGAUUUGACCUAUGUGUUUCAGUCCUUGUUUGAUUGAAAUAAAUGCUGUGCAAAUUGGAUACAUCUUUCUUGAAUUCUAUUUCCCUAAUCACUGAUUACCCGUGUGCACAAUGGCACCUGGCUGAAUCUAUCUAUUUAUCAUCUAUCUGUAGUCUUUGAGAUUGAUCCUAGGACUUUAAUGUUGGGCUGGUGCUGAGCCAUUGAGCUACACUCCAAGCCCAGCUGAGAAGAAUUGGUUGUAACUCCAACCACUACCUAGUACCACUCAAACCUUGGCAGAUAAUUCAACUUAAGAAAAAAGCUCCUAGGCGCUGAUCUGUCCCCAAGUGAGUGCCAUAGAGUAAUUUGAUACUCCAUUCCUGGAAGUCACACCCUCAGUUAGAGCAGAAAUGACAGAACUGUUGUGGAUACCUCAAAUAUGAAAGCCCUCCGCACUGGAUAGUCUUACACCCUAUCAGAUCCCAAGUCACUGAUGUCAUUGGAUGUGAUUGAUGCAGUGGGGGGCACUGACCAUGGCCUCACCUAUCCACGUGCAGCCCUGGAAGUGCACCAGUCCUGUCUACACAGAUGACAAAAGCUCCAGGCUCCACACCACAAUGGGAACAGCCAGUAGUGGGAUCAACUUCAAGUAACAGAGCCAAUGAGAGUAGAGCUCAAGGAACCCCACCUCCCAGAGGAGCUUCCACUCCCACUGUAGGAGAAACCACAGAGGGUGAGCUUCACAUACUCUGCUGUCAACACCAUGCCUGCCUCAGCCACCAGAGGGUCCCCACUUUGGGAGCCCUAUACAGAAAGUAGGGUUCCUGUGUGUGUGAAACUGUGCACUGCAUCCACAACACCUCAUCUCAGCCAAAAAAGCCACAGGAGGUUCACACUGUGAAGUCCGGUGGGAAUUAAACUCAACACUACACAACAAAUCUGAUAACCUAUGACACAACCGCAAAGAUGGCCGCUCAACGUGACGCGCCUCACAUUGAAUAGAAAAAUUCAUUGUAAGAGAUGCAUAAAUCUCAACAUAGCAGCAUAACAAUAUGGAAAAACAAGGCAAGGUGACACAUUCUAAAGUUCAAAAUUCUAUAGUAUCAGAUUUCAUAGGUAAUUAAAUGGGUAGAAUGCCAAAUAAUGAAUCCAAAACAAUGAUUUUUACAAAGUUUUAUGAAUUCCAAGAGAAUACAGAUAAACAAAUGAAUUAAGAAGACAAUUCAGAGGUAGAGAUUGUUUUUUUGGUACCGGGGAUCAAACUUGGGUCCUUGCGCUUGCGCAGCAGGCGGCAAAACCACUGAGCUAAAUCCCCAGCCCUAGAGGUAGAGAUUUUGAAAAAGAACAAAGUAGAAAUCUUAGAAAUGAAAAAUCUCAAUCAAUCAGAUAAAAACUCAGCUGAGAGUCUCAGCAACAAAGUAAACCAAGCAGAAGAAAGAAUAUCAGAGCCUGAAACCACUCUGAUGCAAUAUUAUAUUCAGACUGAAAUAAAGAUAAAACAGGAAAAAUGAACAGGACAUACCCAAUGCCUGGGGCAAUAUUAAAAGCAUAAAUAUAUGCACAAUCAGAAUGUAAAAAGGGAAAGAAAUGCAGGCCACAGACACAGAAAACCUGUUCAAUGAUAUAAGAGCAGAAAAUACCCCAAAUCUCAGAGAAGACAUCUGUAUCCAGGUACAGGAAAUCACUUAGAACCCCAAACAGACAAAAUCAGAAAAGAAUCUCUCCAUGAUAUAUUGUAGUUAAAUUGCCAAACUACAGGCCAAAGAUGAAAUAUUAAAAUUUGCAAGAGAGUAGGGCCAAGUGACAUUUAAUCUAAACUAGUUUACACUAAUGUUAGGUUUUUCAGGAAAAAAUUCUAAAAGGCAAGUGGGAAUGUAAUAAUGUAUUUCAAAUCCUGAGAGAAAAUAACUGUCAACCAAGUUUGCUAUCCCUAGAAUCAAAGGAGAAACAAAGACCUGCCAUGAUAAACAUAAAGGAACACAUGACCACAAGCCAGCAUUACAGAAGACACUUCAGUUAAUAAUAAAACAGAAGAGAAAGAAACUAAAUGCAAUCAUGAGAGAAUAUGGAAGAAUGUAUCUCAACAGAAGAGCAGAUAUAAAAAUGAGAAAUGGGGUGCUGGGGAUUUAGCGCAGUGGUUCCGCCACCUGCCUCGCAAGUGCAAGGUCCUGAGUUCAAUCCCUGGUACCAAAAAAAAAAAAGAGAGAGAAAUAGGAAGGGAUCAAACUUGUGAAUACAGUAAACAAUCAAACUUUUUUUUCUAGUCUCUUAAAAAUGUGUAGUACUGUAUUGUUUUUUUGUUGUUGUUCUUUUAUUGGUACAUUUUAGGUAUACAGUUCAUUUACAUUUAUCAUUGGGUGCUUGUGCCUGUAUAACCAUGAUAUAUCUUGGUUCUUAUUUUUUCCCCAUUACCUUCACGCCCUCCGCCCUUCCCUAUUUACAGAGAUUUAAUUUCCAUUUUCUUUUCUCUUCUCAUAGUUUUUCCUUUCCCUCUUUUCCUUUCCCCUUCCCCUCCCUUCACUCCUUUGUCUUUGGGCCUUUUUUCCUAUUUCAAAUUAUCAUUUAUUCAUUUUAAUCAUUUUAACCCUUGUUUACACUAUCAGUUUCUCACACUAGUGAAACUAUUCGGUAUUUGCACAUGUGCGUCCUAUUUAUUUCACUUAAG